CAGAAGUGUAGUUCAGCAAGUUGAGGAUCGAACGCUAAUAAAUCUGGAAGUAGUGAUUCGUGACGGACAGUUAUCCGACAUGUCAAUAUCCCCAACUCAGCCAUCUUGGAUUUUUGUAUGGAAUUUAUGCUCGUUUGUUUACGUUUUGCACUGAAAACGUAUGUUUCCCCCCCGCGCUGGUUAUUCCCAUCUACUGACGAAGUCGGAUAACCUGUACAUAAAAAAAUCUUGGUGCUGACCCUGAAAAACUGAAGAGUUUAAGGUAGAAGUGAAACAACACCGAACUACAGGAUGCAAAAACCGUGUUUUUUAUUUGGGGUGUUGACUUUGCUGGCAGUUGCCUGGAGCGUGCAACCUAACACAACGAAACCAAUUGGUUUGUACGUCAUCGAUCCGUUGUUCAUGGUGGAAGACGAACGUGUACUGCACCCCGUGGACAAUUUAUCAAACCCCAUAUUUCUAGUACCAUUGUCAUCACCACCACCUUCUCAAACAUAUGAAGUGGUUAAAAAAAAUAGUACAGAAAAAGGGGCCUGGGGUAAUAUCGAUGAUAGCGAUAACGAUGACGAAAAACUUACUUUCCUAAGAACUUGAUUGACCAACCAAUAAAUUUAUGUUUUAUGAUCU